CCUCGCACGUCCUCCCCUUCCCCCUCGCGCCCCUCCCAUCGCCGCCGCCGCCAGCUCCCAAUCCCGUCGCCCCCUCCUCCUCCACAAUCCCCUGCAGCGCCUCCUCCUCCAAUCCUCCCGCUCAUCCUCCCCCAAUCUUCUUCCAAUGGCAGCCGGCAGUAGGUACCUCGCCCCUCGUGCCCCCCAUCCCCGCUGUCUCCUCCAUCUCCGCUCUCCCAGCGCGUGAGGAGGACGACCUCUGCUGGUGCGUCCCCAACUCAACGGCCACAGGCAGCGGCGGCAUCUUGCUGUUCUGAAGGGCAUCCAGCCGACAUCCUCCUGCACGGAAUCUCCAACCUCUCCUUCCCUUCCUCCUUAUCUCAAGGGUUGCAUUUCUCUCAAUAUUUUUGGUUCAGCUGUGUUAUGAAAGAAGAAGAUAAAGUUGUACAGAAGAUUGUGCCCAAAUACAGCAGUAUGCUAGAGGAGCACGCUCGCUGAUGUACCACGCGAGAGGGCGACCUGAGGAUGCUUCUUGAUGAAAUACAACAUGAUUAUUCUACCAUAUCGGGUCAGGUUCGAUGGUAAUUUAAUCGACGACUACAUAUUUCCUGAAUCAGGUUCAGUAUGCUAAAGGGGCACGGCCGCUGCCGUACCUGAGGUUGGUACACCAGUGACGGCUUGCUGCAUCUUUCAGCGGUUGAGACAACCGCUCCAUACACGUUCGCAUCAUCUCCGUCCUCUCAUUGAUAAGCUUCAUCUCAGUAUGGUGGUGAAGACUCAGUGUCGUCGCGUCAUGACCGCCAGCCGAGUGGUCGUCGAUGCAGUGGGAGUUCUCGGUGUCGUGUCCACCGACAGAGAAGAGAGGUAGAGCUUCCGUAACUGAAAAUAGUGGCGCUACCAUGAGGGGGCGAUGGACUGGCAGCAGAGUUGGUGUCAUUUUGACAUAUUCCAGUAGCAUCUGAUGUUCCAUAGCCUUUAUGGCAGAAGCAUAAAAGGGAGACAAGUAUGAUUUUCUUGCUUCAAUCUAUUGCUCUUGAGGUUACAAUCUAAUUUUCUUGUUUUACUGAGUUUUGGGGUGCCCCUGCAAUUUGUUUGAUCUAGAUAUUAGUUAAGUAUAUGAAGGUCCUGUGAUGGCUGCCAGUUGUUCUACCUACAAACUAAUCGUUUGGUAAUUCUUUCGGUCAAAUUAAAACUUGUGAGGGUUAGCAAUCCAAAUAUUUUUUGGGGAUGCUAGACACCAGGUUCCUGCAAUUUUGUCAUUGGCAUGACAUCAGCUCGCUAAAAAUCAAUGGUCGUACUAUCGUAUCAUAUUACUAUUGUUCGAUUUUCCACUGUUGCAGUUUUGAUUUCCUAUUUGAGUGCCCACUGCUGCAGGUUUUAGUUCAAAUUCAUCAUGUAGUUAAAGCUUUUUCUUUGCUACAGAUUGGUAAUAACUCUACCCUGUAAUGGCCUCAUAUUACUAUUUGAGUGGCUUUUCAGAAAAAUAUGGUCACUACAAGAAAUGAGUUGAUAAUUGAUUAGUUAUGGUAUGUGCUCUAUUUGGAUGGAAGCUUCAGCUCUAUUUUCCUCACGUUUCAUAUUCAGUUACGAGAUGGUUAUCUUCCAUGGGAUUUUGGCACUUAAAAUACCACUAGACAUAAUGUGAGGGCUUCACUUGGUUCACAAUAUAUAGGUUUAGGUGUCAAGCACAAGCAUAUUCUCUUCGUCUAGGCUCAUCAUUGGGGACAUGAUCAUUGGAAUUUUUGUAUCCAUCUUAAUUGCGUUGUGCCUGUGAGUGCUAUAUCAUCAUUAUAGUAGAGGUACGUCCGGCCAUUUUAUCGAGCUUCAAGGUGUUUGCAAACGGAAAUACCUAGCAGGUGUCCAUCGGUAAAAAUGAUGCCUUCAAAGACCAUUCAUAUUGGUUUUACAGUUUCAUAUUUUGUGUCACAUGAUAAAAUCUCAUGGUUUAAAUGAAUAGUUCUAUAAUUAAGCCUAUUUUAGGUGUAAGAUGAUAACUGACACUUAUUUGCUUUGUUUUUGUUGACACCCUUUACUGCUAGAAAUCAAUUCUUAUUUUCCUAUAUGAUUAUGCAAGCCACUUUAAACUGUAUUUUCAUCAUUGCUUUGCAUACAUCUUUUGUGGACCUUUCAGAUAUUGUUCCCCAUUUGUUACAGCCUUACAACACAUCAACCUGGACCGUUGGUUGACUUGAUCCCUACUAUUGGAAAAUGGUACUCUUUAUACAUUUAGAUCUUACUUUUUCCGUUUCUUUAGUUCUAGCAUGCCUAUACUUGCUCUGGCAUAUCAGUAGCUUGAGAUUUAACUUGCUUCCUUGACAUGUUUAUAUGCUUGAUGUUUUUUUUUUUCCUUUUUGACAUAGUUUUGGAGGGCCUCAAUCAUAACUUAGCGCCGUGCAUGACAUGCACAAUGCCAUCCCUCCUUCACGUUACGGCUUUGGCUACUAAUCUUAAUCAACAUAUGUUUGAGUCAACUAACAUUUUGAAGACUAGAAAUUCCUUGGUUACUAUGGGUCAGAUAAAGAUGAUUCAGUCUGUUGGUACUCUUGAGGUCUACAACUCGGACUUACUUCCUAUAGUACUAAGAGCUUCCUCCUAUGCUAACUACUUCUAAUUUUGUGUUAUGGGUAGAUUAUAGUGUCAGCUUGUAUUUGAUGUUUCAUCUUAGAUGAUGUGUAAUAAUGGAACAAUGUUCUUGUGCACCCAGGUGGGACCCCUCCCUGUGUUUGACUAAUGUUAUCCCAGAACCAUGUAUUUGUACAUAUUUACCUACUUUCGGCACUUAUAAGUAGUGUAUUUCUUUAUUUUGCUGUUUGGUUUUACUAUACAUGACAUGAUGUCAUGAUGAUGUGUUCUUUAAACUCCUCUUCAUCUGCUGUCAAUUCUUCUGUAUAUUAAGUAAAAAUAAGGAUGGCUGUUUAAUAUAGCAUUUUACACAACUUUCAUGAGCGUGAAGGGGUGUGGACGACGGGGUCGUGCACCAAGGCUGCUCAGGUCAUGUGUUAAGGUACUUUUUUUUAUCUUGGUUCCAAACAGCUUGUGCCCAGUCAUGGUUAAUCCACUAAAAUGUAUAAAAUCUGGGAUGCGAGUUACUAAUUAUGAGCUUUAGUGUUUAGAUAAGACACAGAUUUAGGAUUUUUGAAACUGCUUCUUUUUCAUUGAUGUGACAUGAUUCAUGUUGAGCUGAUUGUGUUGGCUUUACAAAUGUUUCACCAUGAACAACUUGAUUUUUCCUGGAACAACAUUCAAUCAUCUACUCUGCAAAUAUACUUCUUUCACUUGUAAUUUUCUUUUUAUUUAUAUUCUUGGGUACCAGAACUGUAUUUUAACCAUCACCUACAUUAUCUUCUUUUUAUUGCAUACUAUAAACUGAAGUGCCUGUAUUGCAUUUUGAACUACUUGAUUCAUGUAAAAAAUAUGAACGUCUCUGAUUCUGGGUUGCACACUUUAUUCAGCAGCUCAUGGCAAGAGUCUGUCUAUUUAAUCUUUAUGAACUAAUUCAGUACCUGAAGAUUCCGUUAAGAUUAUGUGCAUCAAUGUAUAGUCUCGUCUCUUUGUUGUUUUAAUGAUUUCUUGGUUAAGAAUGCAGAUUCUUACUAUUUAGCAAAAUCUUCAGUUGACAUACCUGGAGUCUGGAGAUACAGUUACUUGAGUUUAUUUGUUGCCUAGGUACCUAACUGUGUGAUGGAAGUCACAAUUUUACACCUGAGGAUAUGUUGUAUCAUAACCAUGUGGUCUGUUCGAGGCGAUAGGGAUCUUCAUUGGAUGCACUAAAUCUGGGUGGGUUCUUAUCCUUUUUUGGAUACUACUGAGAUGUAUAGUACGUACUAUCUACAAUGAGACUACCGGAAAGAGCCAAACACAUGUGUAGGUACCUACUCCAGCAGCUGAACACAUGUUUGGCCUUCUACUCUGGAACAAUAUUUAGUAGUGUCAAAACUUAGGUGUUAUUCUUAUUUCAAAGAGUGCUAUUGUAUAAAUGCUUAGUUGCUUACUCUAAAUUAGAAUUAGCAACCACUGCUUUCUAAUAAUUGCGCAUUAGAACUGGUAACCAUUGCUUUCUAAUAUAGUUCAUUAAC